UCCAGCAGGAGAAGAGAAAUAAUAUAGAUCAGGGCAGAAAUCAAUGAAGUAGAAACCAAAACAACAGUAGAACAAAUCAAUGAAACUUGGAACUGGUUCUUUGGAAGAAUUAAUAAGAUUGAUAAACCCCUGGCCAGACUAUUAAAAAAAAAGAGAGAGAGAAAGGACCCAAACUAAUAAAAUCAUGAAUGAAAGAGGAGAUAUCACAACCAACACCAAAGAAAUACAAACAAUUAUAAGAACAUAUUAAGGGCAACUAUAUGCCAGCAAAUUUGACAAUCUGGAAUAAAUGAGACAUAUAAACUACCAAAACUGAACCAGAAAGAAAUAGAAAACCUGAACAGAUCCAUAACCAGUAAGGAAAUUGAAGCAGUCAUCCAAAAUCUCCCAACAAACAAGAGAGCCCAGGGCCAGACAGCUUCCCAGGGGAAUUCUACCAAACAGUUAAAGAAAAAUUAAUACCUGUUCUCCUGAAACUGUUCCAAAAAAUAGAAAUGGAAGGAAAACUUCCAAACUCAUUUUAUGAGGCCAGCAUUACCUUGAUUGCAAAACCAGACAAAGAUCCCAUCAAAAGGGAGAAUUACAGACCAAUAUCCUUGAUGAACACAGAUGCAAAAAUUCUCACUAAAAUACUAACCAGUAGGAUACAACAGUACCUUAAAAGGAUUAUUCACCACAACCAAGUGGGAUUUAUUCCUAGGCUGCAAGUUUGGUUCAACAUCUGCAAAUCAAUUAAUGUGAUACAAUACAUUAAUAAAAGAAAUAACAAGAACCAUAUGAUACUCUCAGUAGAUGCUGAAAAAGCAUUUGACAAAGUAAAACAUCCUUUCUUGAUCAAAACUCUUCACAGUGUAGGCAUAGAGCGUACAUACUUCAAUAUCAUCAAAGCCAUCUAUGAAAAACCCACGGCGAAUAUCAUUCUCAAUGGGGAAAAACUGAGAGCUUUUCCCCUAAGGUCAGCAACACAGCAGGGAUGUCCACUAUCGCCACUACUAUUCAACAUAGUACUAGAAGUCCUAGCCUCAGCAAUCAGACAACAAAAAGAAAUAAAAGGCAUCUGAAUCAGCAAAGAAGUCAAACUCUCACUCUUUGCAGAUGAUAUAAUACUUUAUGUGGGAAACCCAGUUUUCUGAUGACUGUUGGAAUUAGGAGGAUGCCUGGAGAUUAUCUAAUCCCAUCCCCCAAUACCGAGAUUAAGAAAUGGAGGACUAGAGAGGUAAAUUACCUGUGGUCACUUAACAAGUCAGGGGCAGAACAAAGGGUAUAAUCAAAGGUUUGCUAUUUUUCCUACACACUACCUCUCCUUUCUUCUCUUUAUUGUGGGAGAAUGUAACAAAAUUUACUGUGUUAGCUCUUUUUAAGCAUACAGUUCAGUGCUACUAAGGACAUUCACAUCUUUGUGCAACCAUCGCCACCAUCCUCUCUUGAACGUUCCAUUAUCCCAAUCAAACUCUGUACCCAUUAAGCAACGACUCCCCUUUCUCCUCUCUGCAAAGCCCCAGGAACCAUGAUUCUUACUGUCUCUCUGUAUUUGACUAGUCUAGGGACCUCAUACAAGUGGAAUCAUUGAGUAUCUGUCUUUUUGUUUCUGACUUACUUCACUUGGCAUAAUGUCUUCAAGGUGCAUCGAUGUUAUUGUCUAUAUCAGAAUCAUCAAACAGCACAUAUCAUACAACACAUAUUAUCCUAGGGAACAGAUCAUUCUUUUUUAAGGCUGAACAUUUCACUGUAUGUCUAUACCACAUUUGGUUUAUCUUUUCAUCUGUCAAUGGAUGUUUGGAAUUUUCCAUCUUGUGUAUUUUCCAUCUUGUGUAUAAUGCUCCCCUAAAACAAUUAUUUGUUGAAGUCCUUGCUUCCAGUUAUUUUGGUUAAUUAUCAAAUUAUCAUAUGAUAAAAUCAUUGCUUCCAAUUAUUUUGGUUAAUUAUCAAAUUAUCAUACGAUAAUUUUGUUUAAUUUUCUGAGAAACCACAGUACUGUUUCCCACAGCAGCUGCGUCAAUUUACACUUCCUCUCUUUAUUCUUUUGUGUAUAGUAGACAGAGUAUUGGAUUGAAAGUUGCUAACCCAACCCCAGGAUUGAUGAGCUGUGUAAUAAUGGAUAAGCCCCUCUGCCACUCAAGCUUCAGUUCCCUGGUCAGGAAGAGAGAAAAUAUCCUGUGGCAUGCCAGCUUCACAGAAUUGUUAUAAGAAUUGAGCCAAAUGAGAUAUACAGAAUGCUUUAUAAAUGAAAACAUUAUUUAAUAAGAGUUGCCAUGAGUCAUUUGUACUAAAUCUGAGCCCAAUCCAAUGUCAAAGGAGAAAACCAUAUGCUUAGGGAAGGAAGGGGCUCACUAAAGAAAUUUAAUAUCCAGCAAAGACUCCGAUUCAAAGGUCUUUUUUCUAAAACCUAGGUGUUCUACCCUAAACAGAGAGCACCGUGGCGGGGGUGCAAGGAAGCAGUCACAGCCAGCUUGGGAGAAGCUGAGGAAAGGGCACAUCAGCAUGUCACAAAGCAGUCACGGGUCCAUCAGCUGGUUCAGUUUGAAGUUCUGCCACUCACUGUUUCAUUAGAGGCAUUUAGAAUUGUGUUUAUAAUUUUCUAUAAACACAUAAUUCCUAAGACAAUGUGGCUUAUUCCCUUUGGUAAUAAGAGUUGCUGAAAUACAUCCAACAAAUUUUUUUUUUUGUCUGAAGUUAAAUCACUGGCUUCAUCUUAUUUACACAGAUUACACAAUGGGCUCCCAAGUAGAGAAUGAAAACUGCCUACUGGCUUUUGGAAACAGGGAUACCCUUUAGAUUUUUGGGUUCUAAAUGUUAAAUUUACUCUCUUACUGUAAAUUGACUGUACAAACACUGAUUUUGUAACCACUGUAAAGGAUGCAACAAAAAUCAGAAGAGUAGACUCCUAGCCCAAAUGAGAUCAAAGCAGAAUUGAAGAUCUCAAGGGACUGAUACAAUGUUGCUAGACUUUAUAACUAAUGACAGAAUUUCAGUCUUUAUGUACACAUACUGAUGCUACUGUACAUAGAGGGCAUCUCCUUGGAAGGUUUUUUCUUAUUUUAGACACAAUUAAAAUGUCUUCUGUCAACUCUUUUUCAUGCCCAUCUUAAACAGUAUCUCAUUUUUUAAAAAUAGUAUCCCAUUUUUAAAGAACAUUACAGGCUUGGUAUAACUUUAUGAUGUGAUACCAAGCUAUUCGAGUAUUAAACAGAAAAGCUUAUUGGGUCUAGAGCGUACCUGGUCAUUUUGGCCAGAAAAGGGACUCUCCUCUUUGGCUCCAAAGCCUACGGUAGGGACAGAUAUGCAGUCAGUGAUUUCUGAAUUUGGUACUAAGGAGGAGGAAAGAGACAGUCAGAAUGAAGACUAAAAUGGGACUGAAGCACAGAGGAGGAGGGUGAAACCUGGGCAGAAAAAUAAUUGCCAAGAAAAAUGGGGCUAGAAAAUAGAAAGAAGGCAUCCACUCAAGGUAGCAAUUCCUUCUGAGAUAUCCCUCCAAAACUUAUACUCUAGCCUCUGAAAAGAAGAGCUCAUUGCUUUGCAAAGCUCUGCAUUCCCACAUUAGACAGCUCUAGUUAUUUCAUUUUAUUUUAUUUUAUUUUAAUCAUGGUAAGUAUGCUCUCUUUAUUAUAGUAUUUUUUUAAAAGAUUUUAUUUAUUUAUCUGACAGACAGAGAUCACAAGUAGGCAGAAAGGCAGGCAGAGAGAGAGGAAGAGAAGCAGGCUCCCCGCUGAGCAGAGAGGCCAAUGUGUGGGGAUUUUAUUUAUUUAUCUGACAGACAGAGAUCACAAGUAGGCAGAAAGGCAGGCAGAGAGAGAGGAAGAGAAGCAGGCUCCCCGCUGAGCAGAGAGGCCAAUGUGGGGCUCGAUCCCAAGACCCUGAGAUCAUGACCUGAGCUGAAGGCAGAGGCUUUAACCCACUGAGCCACCCAGGAGCCCCGGUAAGUAUGCUCUUUAAUCCCCAUCACCUAUUUCACCCAUUCUCCUCCCCUCUGCUAACCACCAGCUUGUUCUCUCUAGGUUAGAGUCUGUUUCUUAUUUUGUUCUCUUUUUUGUCCCCUUUGCUCAUUUGUUUUGUUUCUUAAAUUCCACAUGAGUGGGAUUCCAUGAGUGAAAUCAUAUGGUAUUUUUCUCUCUGACUGAUUUAUCUUGCUUAGCAUUAUACUCUCUAGUUCUAUCUAUGUUGUUGGGAGACCGCUCUAUUUUUUAAAAUGUUCUUCUUUAAAAUAAUUUGGUGCCCAGCAACAAAAGAGAUAGUAAAUAAUAAAUCACGGUCCAGCCUUGUACUGAAAUAUUAUUUAGCCUACAUAAAUGAUGCUGCUAUAAAAGAAUAUAGAAAUGAUACUUGAUUAUUUAGGGAAAUGCUUAUAAUAUAUUGUUAUAUGUGCCUCAAGACUCUAGUUUGGGUUGUGUGUGUGUAUGUGUAGACAUUGGGAAGAUAGACAGUGAACAAUUAACAGUGUUUAUUUCUGGGUAGCAGGAAGCAUGGAUGAUUUUUAUCUUCUCCUUUAUGCUUUUUUUUUUUUAAUUUAAAAAAAUCAGAUUUUACCAUGAGGACACUCUUCUCAAAUUAUCUGUGGUGCUGGCGUCUCACAGAGUGGCCACAUAAGCCUCCAAAGACCUUCACUAGAGAAUGAAGAAGAUAAAGAAAUUGGAGGAAGAACGCAUCUUGUGCUCGUGUCUGCAGAGAUCAACAGAGAGCAUGUUCUAGAGCUUCUGUGGGUGUACACGCCUCUACCCAAUUCUCUGUUUGCUUUCGUUGAGCCUCGCUGGGGAAGCAGGCAGACACGUUGGGACAUGCUGCCCAUUGGCUUUGCUCCCUGAGAGAAUCCAUUCUGUUCUGACAGGGAUCACGUUGGAACAGGUAGAACAAUGCACAAACCGUGCCCCAGCAAAUUGGAAACAGUACUCCACAGACAACCUUGCCCCUCGUCAGAGCCCUGGGAAACACUCUUCGCAGACACCAGCCCAUUCGUGGAAGAGUUAACACCUUGGGUAAAGAAUCAAUCCAUCCCAUGGCAUCUAGGUGAACAGCUUGAAGUGCAUUUUCAGCUGAGUUUUCACAAUGCUUUUUUGCCUUCUCACAUUAUGAAGAAAAUAUAGGUUUACUUAUUAUGGACAAUCAGAUCCGCUCUCUGUACCACUUUGCACAGAAACCCAGCCCAACAUGGUAACUGGAACAAUUCUACACCUCACAUUUUCCCUAGAAAAAUAAAGAAAAACAAGGAUUCUGCCAUACUUGGAGAAGAAAGACAGAGCCAUUCCCCAAGGCCCUCAGAAAGCCAUCUGGUUGCAAUCUUUCCCGGAGUUUUCUGGCCCAGAGACAAAGCACAUUUGUAUCAGACAGAUCAACACUGUCACCCAGUGGACAGACACUAGGCGGGCUGAGGCUGAGCCUUGAUCUUGGCUUGGCUUGGCAAGCCAGCAUUUAAAUAGGAACCUGUUUGUUUUAAGUGUUCAUGUAUUCUCUUACAGGGAGCUGGGAGGAUCUCGGCUGACGAGACUUUGAUUUGGGAUGAGUGCAAAUAUAAGGAGGACAUAUAUUUUCAUUGUGCCUAAGUUUUUUUUUGUUGUUGUUUUGUUUUAACCACUAGGAAAUUUAUAGGAAGCAUAGACUAUAACCAACCAAGCAAGUCUGCCAAGACACAGGAUCAACCAGGCUUGCAGAAGGAGGGAGGUAUAUGAUCACCUGCCAAGUAUGUGGGAAGAUUUCCCUACCACAGAAUAAGACUUAUUGUUCAUCGUUCAAAGAGACAGUGGAUGUGUAUUUUGAAAACUAAAUAUUUUUUUUUGGGUGAUCUGAGGUUAUUCACUUUACUAGAAUGAUGUCAGUAGAUGAACAAUUCUUGCUAUCUCUAUUUUGUAUAUAUGUCAAAAGAUACGCAUGGAUGCAGCCUCUGACCCAUCUCAUUCCCCCAAGUAUCUUUAGUCUGUAUUAUUAUUAUAUAUUUGAGAGAGAGAGAAUUGGCAGGGGCCGGGGUAAAGGGACAAGGACAGGGAGAGAGAGUCUCAAGCAGACUCCCCACUGAGCAUGGAACCCAAGGAAGGAAUCCAUCUCACGAUCCCAAGACCACAACCUGAGCUGAAAUAAAGAGCUGGACACUUAACUAACUUGUGCUGCCCAGGCGCCCCAAGUCUCUUUAGUCUUAUCUGCCAUUUGACACCCUCGGCCAACUGGCUUACUUUUCAUAUUAAGGUGAGAGGUUCUUUGCCUCAAGCCUUUCUUGCUAAAUGUACCUUUAAAUUAGUUUCUUCUCUCUGGCUGGAAUGCAUCAACAAACUGAAAGCAUUCAUCUGGUAUCACUUUACACUUCUACAGUCCUGGAAGCUGAAACUUCACCUGGUAGGAUCUUUUCUAGCAUCUUGAUUAAAAGCAAUCUGUUUAUUGGAGGGAAAUCUGGGUUUGAAUCCUAACUGCACCACUCGCUAGCUAGCUCCUUGCCUUAGACAGGUCACUUAGUUUCCUUAAGCUUUAGUUUCCAUCUCUGUUAUCAGGGAUAAUACUGGCACCUACUGCCCUGGCGGUUAAUCCCUGCUGUGGGGAUUUAGGUAGGAAAAUACAGAUGAACAACAGCACAGGGCCUGGACAUAUUGUAAAAGCUCUAUGAACAUUAGGGUUGGCAUUGUCAUAAUUAUUACAAUGACGGCAGUCACUCUUACUACUCCUAAAAUGCAAUUCUUAUAAAGUACCUCAGGCAUGCAGAUGAAACCAUGAUUUUUUUUUUUUUUUUUAGCUAGAAAGACCCUGAGAGAGCAUCCAGUCCUUUGUUCUUCAUUAGAAUCAUCUGGGGAAGUAUGUAUGUAUGUAUGUAUGUAUGCAUGUAUAUUUUUAAAAAUUAUUUAGUUUAAUUGAGAGAGAGAAAGAGAAGGCAUGAGUGAGCGAGGGUAGAGAGGGGCAGAGAGAAACUUUUACAGACUUUCCACUAAGCGUGGAUCCCAAUGCAGGGCUUAAGCUUAUGACUCUGAGAUCACCACCUGAGCCAAAACCAAGAGUUGGACACCUGACAGACUAAGACUCCCAGGGGUCCCUCCAAGGAACCUUUUAAGGAACACUGAUAUUCCCAAUAGCCCAAUGAAAGAAUGCUUAUUAUAUGAAUCCUUUUAGAUGAAUUCUAGAAAAGGCAAACCUAAUCUAUAGCGACAGAAAGCAGAUCAGCAAUUGUCUGGGGAUGAAGGUGGAAGGAAACUUUCUGGGGUGGUGGCAAUGUUUUCUGUCUUGAUUGUGGAGGCAGAGUAUGCACAUUUGUCAAAAAGUUUCUGAAACUGUACAGUAAAGUGAGUGCUUUGUAUUGUAUGUAGAAUGUAUCAUAAUAAAGUUGAUGGAAAAAGCUGA